rnacentral:misc_RNA from 1 species
ACGUCCACGAUGAUAACAAAAAAUACAACCAACAAUUAACAAAACACUCUUAAGGUAUUUUUGAGGUAUCAAAAGAUAGAUCGUUGCACCAACACCAAGCAAGAGUUAAAUUUGGCUAGUUUUAUGCCCCACAGCGGAAUUGACCGACACUUGGUUUCGUGGCAUUUGUAUUGUGGUCCACGAUCAGGCGUUUAACAGGAUAACUUCUACGUAGCUCAGGACAAGAAGAAAGUAAACCAAGAUUUUAAAAACAAUGGAUCUGGUGAAAAGGAAACUAAGACCCUUCUUUUCUCUGACGAGAAGACAGAAAAGAAACAUUCGGAUUUGCUUAAGUACAGUCGUGAUGGCCUUGGCAUUUUAUAGAAUAUUGUACUAUAAACAAGACGAGACGCAAAGAAAACUAAUUUUAGUUUACACUCCAUAUCCAAGCGAACCAUGGGGCCCACGAAAUGCUGAAGAAUCCAAGAACUACAAAUUUACCGAUUGGGAUGGCACUCCAUGCGAAGAAAACAGGUGUCAAAUCACUUUUGAUAAAAGUUUACGAAACUUUAGCGAUGCUGUGCUCGUACACGUCGGACAUCCGAAUUUCAAUAUUGACGAAGCAAAGAGCAACAGGCCACCCGCACAGAGAUGGGUCUUGUACACUAAGGAAAGUCCGGGAGUAUAUCCCAUAGGAGAUAUGGCUGACGGCGUGUAUAACUGGACUGCAACUUAUCGGCUAGAUUCGGACUUUUUCGUACCUUAUGGAUCUUAUUCACCAUUGAAAAUCCCGAAUAAAUCAGAUAACGACGACUUAACGGAACAACCCGGCGAAAAUGUGAACUACGCAAAGGGAAAAGACAAAAUGGCCACUUUUGGUGUGAGUAACCACUGUAACGAACGUGGAGUUAGAUUCUCUUACGUCCGGGCACUCUUAAAACACAUACCAAUAAGCCUCUAUGGAAAAUGUGCCCCUAUGUUUGAAUCGAAUAACACUUGGAAAUGUCCCCGCCGCAAGGGACAAAUCGAUGAUGAUUGCGAGGAAGAAAUCCAGCGCCACAAGUUCUACCUCGCAUUUGAGAAUAGUUUGUGUAUAGAUUACAUAACAGAGAAGUAUUGGAGGAAUUCACUUGAGAGAGGAUUGGUCCCUGUAGUUCUUGGAGGUGCUCAAUACGGUCCCGAUCUGGUAAUUCCUGGUUCUUUCAUCAACGCAGCCGACUUUGAUUCCGUUAAAGAUCUUGCGGAUUACCUGAAGUAUCUGGAUAAGAAUGACACGGCCUAUAACCAGUAUUUUCAGUGGAAAACCAAAUACAAGGUUGUCAAGUACAAUUUUUGGUUGUGCCAAUUGUGUAAGGCCCUUCAUGAUCCAACGAAACCGGCUAAAAUUUAUCACAAAAUGUCAGAGUUUCUGGGAAUUAAAGGAGCGUGCAAAGUUAACGAAGAGCGCGUUUGGAACAUUAUCAACAGAGGCUGAACACGGCUCAAGAAUUGAGAGCUCCUGUCUUCAACCUUGUCCCCAGGACCUUCUCCACUUGUCAAAGAGAAGGCCCUGGGGACGAGAUUGCUCCUGUCAAUUGGAACUUCAAGGCGGACUGGCGGAAUGACAGACGGAUGGAUCAUUGAAUUUAAAUCAAAAUUUCGAUUUCUUAAUCAUAUGUUAUAGAAGUGUUUCAGUCUUAUGGUGUGGCGGAGAAAGACCACAUUGUGUUCACCAAUGAAUUCCUAUGAUAUUGUUCCGUUCACCGGGCAGGUAUUCACUCCGGGAGAUCAGUAAAUAUACAUAUGCACGUCUAACUCCUAAGUUACAAUUUGUAAUAGUAAUUGGAGCGAGUGGAGUACAAUUCAGGGACUACUAGAAUCGCGCAAGUAAUUUCAAAAUCGAACGAGCACGAUUUCUCUCCGAAUUGUACGACAGGCUGUCCAGUUAGUAAUUAAUCGUAUCUAUAACAAAUUUCGAGAUUAAAAAAAGUAGUUUGAGAACUUUUUUUGAGCGAAAAAGUCAGUAGUGUUUCCCAUAAUCAGUUGUAAAAACUGUAGGAAACAUUAAGAUGGAAGUUAUUAAAGCGCGUUUAAUCAAUCAAUCAAUCAAUCAAUCAAUCAAUCAAUCAAUCAAUCAAUCAAUCAAUCAAUCAUUUUAUUUAAAACUUGGUUAAAAUCUUCAGUGAGCACAAUAGUCAGGGGUACCAAUUUAAAUACAAAUCAGUUCAAAUGAGCGGAAGGUAGCAUUGCUUACUAUGAGUAAGUAGGGUUUUGGCGCUGACUUGUUAUCCGGUACUGUUCAGUUAAAUACAAAUUGAGCACAUUCACUGUAAUAUAGCAUUGUCUAGUAAUGUUUGCUGAUAAAUAUCUCUGAUGAAGAGUUCAUGAUGAUCUAUCUCUGGGGAAUCAGUAUUAUUCCUGAGGCGGUCGCACAUAAGAGGUACUAUAAUAUCUCAGCAAGCCGCUGUGCUUUGUGAAAGUUCUAAAUAUAACGUUUCAGCACCUUAACGCGACUUGAAUUUUUUCAACAAAUAAACUGAAACGAGAUUAUUCCAUGUACCGUACUAUGAGACGCUCCCCGUGUGGCUUAGAAUGAAAUCCCCACAGACUCUGAUGCUAAAACUGUUACUGCGUGAGGUUUUGGAAAAUAUUAUUGUUUUAUUUUUUUACUUAUUUCACUUUUUUCGCUUGUUAAAAUGGCAAGUACGCAAGUCAAACAAGUUUUACCAAAUUGUAAGAUAUAUUUCAAAGCCAAUCACCUGCAUGCACAGUGGUAUUUUAGGACAAACCAAGACAUCAUUCAGCGCUUUGUUAUUUGACUUAAUUACACAAAAUACGCCAGCGUCUAUGAUAGAUAUUUUUAAACUCAGCGUCAAAAGCUUGCCCUUCCCCUUACCCAUGUGGUUUUGAUACAUUACUGAGUGGGGAUGGCGAUGCAUGCGCAAAGAACGCGCCUUGGAAUUUCACAGUUAUCUAGAUCUGCUCAGUACGCUGAUCGAUCUAAAAGCCGGCUGCUGUACACGUGAGUGGGAAUGCACCAUACAAGUGCACCGUCUGAGUAGAGCAAGUCUGAUGAGUACGAGCGAUUGGAGAAAAAUGUCAAAUAGCUAAGAUCAUGCCCGCGUGUAACCCUCCGCACCCCCAGAGGAAAUCUGGGAAACCUUUUCCUUCGAUGUUGGGUACAGCUACACGUGCGCCAAGCGCCUUGAAUAUAAUAAGCACCACACUCAAAUGAAGAACUCGGCACCGGGCGCGGCACGUAUUCGAAAUACUUGAAUUCUAAGGCGUCGCUUUUUUUGAACUGGAAUCCUAGAAUAAACACCAGACCAAAAUGUCAAAAAAUUUAACACCAGGGCGCUUUUCGAAGUAAGUAUGGUAAAGGUUGGGGACAUCAUGUCGGGGGCGUUACGACCGGCUGUGCCACCAUUAUUAAAACACACCCGCGCCGGACUCUAACCCUAGACCUAUAAACCAUUACAUUUUUCUGGGAUAGUUAAGCAAUUAUUCUUGACAAGAAAUCAUAUCGCAGGUACGUUUUUUUCUCGGUUUUUCUUGUGUAGAUAUAAUUUUUUUUGGUAGUUGCCAAGCUCCUCCCCAAUCAGUAAAGGUGGAAACCGGAACGACGCUAGUCUCCCUCGCAACGCAACGCUCCUCCCCACUAACUAGUGGGGAGGAGCGUUGCGUGACGACCCUAAUAACGGCUGCGAAGGAGACUAGAACGACGUCAGAGAGACUCUGGGCUCGAGCGGUUGAGAUCGAAUCGACCUAGUUACCGACACCGCGGGCUCAAUGUUUUGGUCCAUUGUACCUUUGUAUUCCUCUGUUAUUCCUCUUCGAUCCUAUUCCUGUCCAUAUUACAAUAGUGGGGGAAAACCUUCCUAUUCCAUUUAAUUUUUCUAUAAAACAGAAAAAACCUUUUUACCUUAAGGAUCACGUAUGGGUUGCACUGUGAGUGGAACUGCCAAGGAACUGCCAAGGAUAAAAGGAUCGUGCAAUUCCGACGAAAUCAACGCACGUGUCACUUUGUUUAAAAACUUGAGCAAAGAGCUUUGUUCCGUGGAUCGCACAGGCAAUGCCAGUUUUUUGAAAGCAACAUCUCAGAGAUGCAGUUGCAGUGACAGCUUUAAAAAAGUUUCAUGGAAAAUAAUGAGUGAAAAACAAAGUGAAAGGAAUAAUGGCUGGGAUUACAGCGAAGCUGAACUGGGUUGUAACUUUCAACAGGACACUGCAGGCAAUGGGAAGGCCUGUUACAAAUUCUACAUCUCUGAUGCCAACAACAAUCGCACAAAUAACAGUUUAACUAUGCCAUGUGUCUCAGAGUUUUAUAGCUGUAUGCAAAAUUGUUUACAAGUUAACAUAGUGAAAAGUAAUCGAGUUGCUGUAUUAGUCCAUGAGAGAUUCUUUAAUGGUAAGCUACAACAGGCAUAUAAAUAUUCUGCAGUGAAAUGGGCCACUUCCAAGUUUUUUUUUUUUUGCCUUUGUGUCAAAACAAGUCUCUGCAAUUGCUAAACCACUCAUUUGAAAAUGCUUCACCUGUGUAUUCAUUUUCAAACAAAUCAAACUCGUUUUCAUUUAAAUAAUUUUGUCCAAGGACUUGUCAUGAAAGAGGCAAAAGGAGCUUGGAAAUACCCUUGUGGAUGGGUGUGGCAAUGCAGAUUGAUAGUCCCAGAAAUAGUUACGCACACAACAAGACUAUACUUGAUGUGCAUUUAACUGUGGUUAUUUUCUAGUUUAUAGUGAGUGUUUAAGUUGGACAAACUAGUUUAAAGAAAAAUCAAAAAUUCAUUUCAUCAGUUCCCAUUUUCUUUUUUCAAAACUAUUAUUUACAUGUGAUGCAUUUCGUUUGUCUCUGUAGCAUUUGAAGAUGACUGCGAUGAUGAUGACUUUAUGCUGUCCAACUGACUGGAGCAAAAUGCUUGCAUGCAGUCAUUUUGGGAAGGGAUGUAUCUAUGGACACUUCUGUGUAAUUGUAACAGAUAGGAAGGAACUCGACAUCAGAAAACACAAGAAUCCUUGCAUCCUCACUGGGUUAAUAAGUCUCAAUCCACAGGAUAUGUAACCUUACCCAUUUUGUCAGACAAUCAUUCCAUGAGCUAACAUCCAUUAGUCCCGAAAACUUGCCUGCAUGAAGUUUGCCGAACUGACUUCAUUUGUGACGGGCAGUUCUUUUUUGUACUGAUUGUGGAAUAUUUAACAAUUAUUGGUUGAGGUUGAGCAAGUUAUUGUGAUUUGUCAGUGGUGGGCAGAUCAGCUUACAUUAUUUUAGUAAUAAUAAUAAUAAAAACAACAUUUACAGAGGAUUUUAUGAGGCUGGUAUUUUUUAGUCCCUGUUGGUUUUUCAAGUUUGAGCAAGGAAAGAAAAAAAGUUCAAUCCACAAUAUUACUGUCAUCUCCUGUUUGCAAGUGUGGUUGCAAUUUGUUUCAUACUCAGUCUUGCAGAUAUCUAACAAUCCCACAAUUUGAUAUUCAUGGCUAUUUGUAUGUAAUAAAAUGAAGUAUUCUCCUGUUGUUUAAGUUUGUUGUUCUGUUCUUUUACCGGUGAUUAAGUGCAUGCAAGAGAGCUCUGAGACAUUUCAAGACUUUUUUUAGUCACUCCAUGAAUAUUGAUCUCCAUUGAUACACAAACAAUACAACUUGAAGACCCAAGAAUCUGGUAUUACCAAGAGAGAUUUACUAAAAAAUCAUAAACAUACAAAAAAGCCAACAAAACACAAUCACGGCACUUGAGCCAACUUUAUUUCGGCUUGACAACUUUUCCUGUACUUAGCCUACAAACUU